CCUACGGGUGGCAGCAGUGAGGAAUAUUGGUCAAUGGGCGGAAGCCUGAACCAGCCAAGUAGCGUGCAGGAUGACGGCCCUACGGGUUGUAAACUGCUUUUAUACGGGAAUAACGCGCCUUACGUGUAGGGCUUUGCAUGUACCGUAUGAAUAAGGAUCGGCUAACUCCGUGCCAGCAGCCGCGGUAAUACGGAGGACCCGAGCGUUAUCCGGAUUUAUGUGGUUUAAGGGGUGCUUAGGUGGAUGGUUAAGUAAGUUGUGAAAGUUUGCGGCUCAAACGUAAAAUUGCAGGUGAAACUGGCAGUCUUGAGUACAGUAGAGGUGGGCGGACUUCGUGGUGUAGCGGUGAAAUGCUUAGAUAUCACGAAGAACUCCGAUUGCGAAGGCAGCUCACUGGACUGCAACUGACACUGAUGCUCGAAAGUGUGGGUAUCAAACAGGAUUAGAUACCCUAGUAGUC
rnacentral:rRNA from 1 species